AGUGAACGCUGGCGGUAGGCCUAACACAUGCAAGUCGAACGGCAGCACAGUAAGAGCUUGCUCUUACGGGUGGCGAGUGGCGGACGGGUGAGGAAUACAUCGGAAUCUACUUUUUCGUGGGGGAUAACGUAGGGAAACUUACGCUAAUACCGCAUACGACCUACGGGUGAAAGCAGUGGAUCUUCGGACCUUGCGCGAUUGAAUGAGCCGAUGUCGGAUUAGCUAGUUGGCGGGGUAAAGGCCCACCAAGGCGACUAUCCGUAGCUGGUCUGAGAGGAUGAUCAGCCACACUGGAACUGAGACACGGUCCAGACUCCUACGGGAGGCAGCAGUGGGGAAUAUUGGACAAUGGGCGCAAGCCUGAUCCAGCCAUACCGCGUGGGUGAAGAAGGCCUUCGGGUUGUAAAGCCCUUUUGUUGGGAAAGAAAAGCAGCAGGUUAAUACCCCGCUGUUCUGACGGUACCCAAAGAAUAAGCACCGGCUAACUUCGUG
rnacentral:rRNA from 1 species